rnacentral:rRNA from 1 species
AGUGAACGCUGGCGGUAGGCCUAACACAUGCAAGUCGAACGGCAGCACAGUAAGAGCUUGCUCUUACGGGUGGCGAGUGGCGGACGAGUGAGGAAUACAUCGGAAUCUACUUUUUCGUGGGGGAUAACGUAGGGAAACUUACGCUAAUACCGCAUACGACCUACGGGUGAAAGCAGUGGAUCUUCGGACCUUGCGCGAUUGAAUGCGCCGAUGUCGGAUUAGCUAGUUGGCGGGGUAAAGGCCCACCAAGGCGACGAUCCGUAGCUGGUCUGAGAGGAUGAUCAGCGACACGGGAACUGAGACACGGUCCAGACUACUACGGGAGGCAGCAGUGGGGAAUAUUGGACAAAGGGCGCAAGCCUGAUCCAGCCAUACCGCGUGGGUGAAGAAGGCCUUCGGGUUGUAAAGCCCUUUUGUUGGGAAAGAAAAGCGGCAGGUUAAUACCCCGCUGUUCUGACGGUACCGAAAGAAUAAGCACCGGCUAACUUCGUG